ACGGGGAGAGUGAAUGAUCUAAAAUUUUACACACAAGUUAUUGGUCUAGACAGGACAUUAAUAUGGUAAAAUUAUUUCUAUUCCAGUCAUGUAGAAAAAAAUGCGAGGCGUUUUGUUCGAAACCUCAUGAAAAAUAGUCUAAACAUGUAGCAUAAAAUGCUUUAAAACGGAUGAAUUGUUCCAGAUAGAUAUUAAAGUUUAAAGGUCGGUGACAUUACAGGUCAGUGAUAUCAAACCUCCUGUAAACUCAUGUAAAGACAGGGUUUGUUAACGCAUCUCAAAAAGAAAAUACAUUAUAAUAUUGCAAAAAGAAUCGGCAUUUAUUCGAGAUCGGCCUGAUGACAAAACUCUAGUUACAGUUCCGAUAGCUUUUCGUGCUUUGGGGUUUUUUUUUGUAUUCUGUUUUAUAUUUACGUUUGCGUAUUUAUAACAAUUGCAUGUGACAGAUUGUGCGGAUUUAUGCAGCACAUAACAGAGUGGACUACUUUCUGUGUCUAUGAGCGCAAGAAAACUGCAAAAUGAAUAUAAUUGAAUAAACACUUAAAUUAAAACAUAAAACAAGUUUUAUUUUGGAUUGUAUAAUUAAAUAAAACAGGACGCUUAGCAAUUCGUGCGUACAAUAGUAGGCCGACCUCGUUAUCAGUACUUCCGUUAUUGAAUAUUCACGACCUUGUAGUUAAAAUAUGUUGCUCGGGAAAACUAUAGUUAAAUUAGGACCUAUGUCCAGUGGGGCUCUAUUUCGGAGAAAUUUUACUUAUGGACCUCCGCUCAAUCGUAUCUCAUUAAAGGAAAAGAUAGCUUUAUUUAGUGGUGCUAUGGUUAUUAUCGCAGGACCUAUGUUGUGGAUUAUGGGAAGUUUAAAGAGGUACCAAGGAAAAGAAGAAUAGACAAUGGCUAGAUAGUAUUCAAUAGUGACAAGAAAAAAUGUGUGUUAUAAAAACAGCAAGAGUGUGUGCUGUUAACAGAGAAUUAUAAAAACAGCAAAAACGAUGUAAAAUUAUGCCGAGAUAUUAUUUGAAUUUCCAAUCAAUAUUUUAUCAGUCAUAUUUGCAACUUAUUAAAUCUUUUAUUGACAAA